ACCAGAGUGGUAUAGUGGUUUGAUGUUAGACUACAGCUCUGGAGACCAGGGUUCAAUUCUCAGCUUGGCCA